CCUACGGGGGGCAGCAGUGGGGAAUCUUGCGCAAUGCGCGAAAGCGUGACGCAGCAACGCCGCGUGGGCGAAGAAGGCCUUCGGGUCGUAAAGCCCUUUCAGCAGGGACGAAGCUUCGGCAGCGAAUAGCUGUCCGGAGUGACGGUACCUGCAGAAGAAGCCCCGGCUAACUACGUGCCAGCAGCCGCGGUAAUACGUAGGGGGCUAGCGUUGUCCGGAAUCAUUGGGCGUAAAGCGCGCGUAGGCGGCCAGAUAAGUCCGGUGUGAAAGUCACAGGCUCAACCUGUGAAUGCCGCUGGAAACUGUUUGGCUAGAGUCCGGAAGGGGCGAGUGGAAUUCCUGGUGUAGCGGUGAAAUGCGCAGAUAUCAGGAGGAACACCAAUGGCGAAGGCAGCUCGCUGGGACGGUACUGACGCUGAGGCGCGAAAGCGUGGGGAGC
rnacentral:rRNA from 1 species